AUUGAACGCUGGCGGCAGGCUUAACACAUGCAAGUCGAGCGGGGUGAUGGUGCUUGCACUAUCACUUAGCGGCGGACGGGUGAGUAAUGCUUAGGAAUCUGCCUAUUAGUGGGGGACAACAUCUCGAAAGGGAUGCUAAUACCGCAUACGUCCUACGGGAGAAAGCAGGGGAUCACUUGUGACCUUGCGCUAAUAGAUGAGCCUAAGUCGGAUUAGCUAGUUGGUGGGGUAAAGGCCUACCAAGGCGACGAUCUGUAGCGGGUCUGAGAGGAUGAUCCGCCACACUGGGACGGGGACACGGCCCAGACUCCUACGGGAGGCAGCAGUGGGGAAUAUUGGACAAUGGGGGGAGCCCUGAUCCAGCCAUGCCGCGUGUGUGAAGAAGGCCUUAUGGUUGUAAAGCACUUUAAGCGAGGAGGAGGCUCUUUUGGUUAAUACCCAAGAUGAGUGGACGUUACUCGCAGAAUAAGCACCGGCUAACUCUGUGCCAGCCGCCGCGGUAA
rnacentral:rRNA from 1 species